CCCUUAGAUGUCCUGGGCCGCACGCGCGCUACACUGAACGGAUCAGCGCGUUUUCCCUUCCCGAGAGGGACGGGUAACCUGCUGAACCCCGUUCGUGGUAGGGAUCGGGGCUUGCAAUUAUUCCCCGUGAACCAGGAAUGCCCAGUAAGUGCAAGUCAUAAGCUUGCGUUGAUUACGUCCCUGCCCUUUGUACACACCGCCCGUCGCACCUACCGAUUGAAUGGUCCGGUGAAAUCCUCGGAUCGAGCCGUGGGGCAACUCCGGUUCGAGAAGUUGAUUAAACCUUACCAUUUAGAGGAAGGUGAAGUCGUANCA
rnacentral:rRNA from 1 species